rnacentral:lncRNA from 1 species
UAAUUUAUUGUGAUAUAAUGUUCUAUAGGAUAAUUUUAUUUACUAAUUGAUCGGUGUGUUAGCGUAUGACAUUAUUUUUGCUAUUAUAGUGAUUUUUUAUGUUUUUAUUUUUUAUUUUUUAAGUUCACUAAUUUGUUACUAUGAUAUAUUUUCCUGUAGUGUAUUUUUAGUAGUUAUCAAUCGAUGUGCUCAACGUAUGAUUAUAUUAUAGUCAUUUAUUUGUAUUUUUUUUAAUUUUUACAUUAAUUUCACAAUUGUUAUGAUUUUUUUCAUUAACUUGUACUUUUAUAAAAUAAUCAGAGAAUGUAACUAACGUAUGAAAUUAUUCUAACCAUUUUUGCUAUUCCUUCAUAUUUUAUAUUUUUUAUUUAGUUGCUCUUAAUUUUUUAACUUAUUAACUUAUAAUUAUUUUAAUAUUUAUUAAUUUAAGCAAAUAAUUAUUCAAUUCAAUAAAAAUGGAUCCACAUAUUAUUAUCUUAAAAAUAUUUGUAAAU